UUCCAGACUCCUACGGGAGGCAGCAGUGAGGAAUAUUGGUCAAUGGGCGAGAGCCUGAACCAGCCAAGUCGCGUGAGGGAGUACUGCCCUAUGGGUUGUAAACCUCUUUUGUCGGGGAGCAAAAGCCGGACGUGUCCGUCUGUGAGAGUACCCGAAGAAAAAGCAUCGGCUAACUACGUGCCAGCAGCCGCGGUAAUACGUAGGGGGCAAGCGUUAUCCGGAUUUACUGGGUGUAAAGGGAGCGUAGACGGCAUGGCAAGUCAGAUGUGAAAGCCCGGGGCUCAACCCCGGGACUGCAUUUGAAACUGUCAGGCUGGAGUGCAGGAGAGGGAAGUGGAAUUCCUAGUGUAGCGGUGAAAUGCGUAGAUAUUAGGAGGAACACCAGUGGCGAAGGCGGCUUACUGGACUGUAACUGACGUUGAGGCUCGAAAGCGUGGGGAGCAAACAGGAUUAGAUACCCCGGUAUUA
rnacentral:rRNA from 1 species